rnacentral:rRNA from 1 species
UACGUAGGGUGCGAGCGUUGUCCGGAAUUAUUGGGCGUAAAGAGCUCGUAGGCGGCUCGUUGCGUCGGCUGUGAAAACCCGCAGCUCAACUGUGGGCUUGCAGCCGAUACGGGCGGGCUAGGAUUCGGUGAGGGGAGACUGGAAUUCCAGGUGUAGCGGUGAAAUGACGCAGAUAUCAGGAAGAACACCCGUGGCGAAGGCGGCUCUCUGGGACGGUACUGACGCUGAGACGCGAAAGCGUGGGGAGCGAACAGG